rnacentral:lncRNA from 1 species
GUCGACCUACCUGAUCGCGCUGUGCCAGGCGAUCGACCUAAGGCAUUUGGAGGAGAAUCUGAUGCACGCGGUGAAAAAUGCAGUGAGCCAGGUCGCGAAGAGGGUCCUGACGAUGGACACCGCAGGCGAGCUCCACCCUGCGAGGUUCUGCGUAAAGGAUCUGAUCAAAGUUGUCGACUGUGAAGCGGCUUUCAGCUAUGCUGAUGAUCCGUGCAGCCCGUCUUACCUGUUGAUGCAGAAACUCCGCCAGGUGCUCGUCGAGCACGCGCUCAAGAACGGCGAGAAGGAGAAGAAUUCGAACUCUUCAAUCUUCCAGAAGAUCACCGCCUUCGAGGAGGAGCUGAAGGCGAAUUUGCCGAAGGAAGUGGACGCUGCAAGGGUUGCAUUUGAGACGGGGAGUUCAGCGAUUCCGAAUAGGGUUAAGGAAUGCCGGUCGUAUCCGCUCUACAGGUUCAUAAGAGAGGAGCUCGGGACGGAGUACCUGACCGGCGAGAGGGUGCGGUCGCCAGGCGAGGAGUGCGAUAAGGUUUUCGCGGCGAUCAACGGCGGGUUGUUGAUUGAUCCUCUUCUUGAGUGCUUGAAGGAUUGGGAUGGUGCUCCCCUCCCCAUAUGCUAGAGAGACAAAGCCC